rnacentral:lncRNA from 1 species
UUUCAAUGGAUGAAGAAGACGAAGACACUUUUGCCGAGGAGGAAGAAAUGUCUAACCAUGUCGACUACAAAACAGAACCAAUCACAUUUAAACAGAACAUCGACGUUGAAAGUGAACCAUUUCAAGAGCUACCAACUACACAACAAAAUGGCGAACCUCACUUCCGAGACAGUCCGUUUGAAACUCGCGGUAAACCACAAGCAAAGAAAGAGCAACCAGACUCCGAACCGAGAGCUUUAAUUCCCGAGGUGCAUAACGUUAUUUCUGUUGAUGGGGUAAGUAUACCCGUUGGAAAGACCCAGGAGAAUGUACUCCCGGCAGAAAGUACCUACCCACUCAAUACACCCGCAGAAGUAACUGUCCCUCUACAAGAACCCGAGUUAAAAUCAACUUCUGAUGGAUCCGAAGUACUGAUGAGAACCCCAGUUGAUAGUGGAAGAGAACCACUUGUCCCGCAUGAAGACCCGCGUGUCUCGGGCGAUACGGGAACACCACGUGAUCGAGCUGAUGAACCUCGAGGGGCUCAACCGGAAGUUCAUUUUACCAUGCCAGUAUCCCCAGAAGAAAGACCCGAGGGACAAGCCCCGCCAAGUACACAGACCGAUGCCCCACCUCGCAAAAAGACCCCGACAACCCCGGUCCAAGAAAUACGUUUUAAUAUUCCAUUCAGUGGAGUUGAUGAACCGUAUGUUAUAUUGGAUACGCAGGAAAGAUCUCCCGAGGCGAUAUACGGACACGAUGCGCAGCCUGAAGUAAAGUCAACACCUGAAAUGCAGGCGAGAACCCCUGAUCAUGUACAACAGG